ensembl:lncRNA
AUUCUCUAAAACUUACAGGAGGGGGUUGUGAGGACAGUGCUGCAUUAGCAGAAAAACAACUCCAUAAAAGGAAAGCGGCCUUGGGUGUUCUAGUCUCUUCGCUUGCAGAUAUCUUGCACCUGCAGAAUGAGGCGAUCGCUUCUUAUCGCUCUCAAGGCCAAAGUCGUGAGCACAUAUUUUUAUUACACAGUUGCACAGUAACUUUAAAGCUGAACAAUAUUUAAAGCUGAAUAAUGUUUGAUCAGAUUAUAUUUUCUUCAAAUCCCCCUUUUGACCCAUCUUAAAUGGGUCAACACACAAAAAUAAGUAACAUUCAAAGGAACACAGAGACGUGUCGAAGCCUGGCUCGAAAAACUCCUCGGGUCUUUUCAUUUGUCUUUAUCUGUCAUUGCAGAUGAGGAGAAAAGAGUCCAGGCACCACCCUGCCCAGGGGUCGGCUGCAAGCAGUCUCGGUUCCCGACGAAAGCAGUAACAGCUGUCCUGCACACAAGGGCUGGUGUGUGGAGUUGAUGACUGUCUCAACACAUGUUAAUUGUUCUCCCAAUGUGCUAAGCAUAACACCGGGACCCCAACCAUCAUCAUUAGUUUCUCGAUCUAAUUCUCCAUCCAUUUUACUGUCAAUGGAGGAGUGUUCUUUUAUUGCUUUUAAAGGAGAAUUUGGGCCAGCUGGGUUUCUGCCUCUGUUAGGCACUAAUCAGCUGGGGCGCUGCUUUAAAGGUGAGUCAGCACUGAAAUAUCCC